UAUCUGGAGAGGAGAAGGUGAGAUUUGGGAGGUUGAAAAUGUUAACACAUAUCGGGAAGGAAUGCUCUCACCAUAGAAUCCCUGCCAUUCUCUGUGUCUAAUGCCUCUGCUCACCGUACCCUGCUGGAAGAGCUCAGUGCCAUUCCAUGGCUAAGGCCCAGCAGUUAGAAAGCAGGUAACCCUGGAUGUAAGGCCACAGCCAUGUCACUCCACCUUCAAGAAAAGCUCUUCUGUUGUCCUCCAUGCAGAGGAGACUGAACUCCAACUCCAAGCAGUUGACAAGCACCCACCCAUUUUCUGCCUAGACUUUGCAGGAACCUGCUCUGCAGGCUGUUCUGUCUUCAGGACCUCACAAUGUCCUGCUGUUAUUCAGGAAUGCCCAGCAGGAGGUUUUGCACAAAUGUUUUUAGUUUUCUACCAAGAGCACUAGAUGAGGUCAGUCAGUGCUGGUUGCCACAAUGAAAACUAGAAGGAGUAUUUACAUAACCAGGUAAAUGAAGUCAUAGAUAAAACCAAGAAUUUUCUAACAUUUUGUAUAAUAUCUGGAACACAGUUGUAGCUCUUUAUCUCCCCAAACCCAGUAAUCAUUUGUUUCCUGAUUCAGACUAUUGUUUCUCUGACAGUUUUGACUCUCAUCAAAUGACAAAAAAUAAAAAUUAAACAAAACAAUAAAAAAAAACCCUGGACCUAUGAAAUGUCGAUGUAACAUUCAUAUCACCUAUACACAACUGUGCUUGAACAUGAAUAAUGUUAAUUAUUCAGUAAUUCUUAGCUAAUAAGAACUAUUCUUGUUCACAAUCUAAGAAUAUAAUUUGGUUGUAUAAUUUAAAAAAACAUGUAUGACUGUAUGCAUGAAAUUAUACUUAUUUUAUUGACACAUUAGAAAUGGAUAAAAAAGCUUUAUGUGCAUAUUUACUUAAUUUUCAAAAUGUCACACACACUCAUGUGUGCACAUAUUCACAAGUCUACAAACACAAAGGCCUAGAGAUAUUUGCUCUCUGUUGUCUCAGUCUACAGCAUGGUAACUUUGAGGCCAAUAUGAGAAGAUUUACUCUAAUCUGUAAAAGUUUCACUGCUGGGCAUAAGGAUGAAAAUGACUGUUGAGGAUAUUUGAUCCUAUCUGAACCCCAAAGCUGUGAGCAGUAAAGCAUUGUUUCUUGUUUGAUGUGGUUGAGCGCUAUAACAAACCUUUAAACCAAGACCUUUCUGUAUAUUGUAAACAGGUGACUACCUUGUGGUUCACCCAGUCCUAACACACACCUUUAAUCCAAGAGAUUUCUGUAUACAGGAUUUAAUAAAGUUAACCCUAUGUCAAGAGGCAGAGCAAGAAACCAACUGACAGGGAUUGAAGAGGAGGGACUUUGAGUUAAGGGGUAUUUUAGACAGCCUGGAGAAGAAGAAAUAGCUCUUUGACUUCAGCUUUUCAGCUUAGGCUUAGGCUUUAGCUCUCUGGCUUUGGGGGCCUUUUGAGCUUUGAGCUAGCAAGCCUCUGGCCUUGAGUUUUUGGCCUUUUCUUCCUGGGUUGUCAGCUGAGCCAAUGAGCCUUUUGGUUUUUCCAUCAGGACCUGAGCUGAGAAGGAAGGUCAGCUGGGUGCUUUCUCUGCUUCUCUGAGCUAGAGGGUUUCACCCCAGCAUCUGGGCCCUGAGUCUUUAUUGGUAAAAUAGAACCGUUGGCAUUUUCAUUUCUUUACAACAAUAUUUUGGUGCUCCAAUGAGUGGCAUGACCCCAAAGACAGAGAGAUCACUCCAGCUUCAGACAAACUGAGAAGCCUUCAGAUCUGGAGAAUAAAAACAUCUAACUAAGGAAUCUGGAGACUACUGGACAAAUGAAAUGUCUGAAGAAAAUGGAGAGAUUAACAAUAAAAAAAAAUCACAACAAAAGGAGUAAAUUGGCUAAGUCCAUCUUCUGUCUUCUGCCCUCUACAACUAUAAUCGGCAAAUGGUCUUUUUGAAGUCCCAAUUCAUUUAAGAUUAAAGCUGCCUUUGAAGUUGGAACAUGGCUCUCUCCUUCUCUAAACCCAGGAAUUCUUGUUAAAGAAAAACCCAAAAUCUCUGUCUGGUAUCACCCAUAGCCACGUGGUAUGGGGUAGAAGAAAACAAAAAAUAAGGGAAUAUUUUAUUGCCACUGAUCUCAUAAUCUUUUAAUUUUCAUUUGACUCUCUAAUUUUAAGGUAUAAAUAUUAUCUCAAAACGUAUAAAAUUACUAUGUAUAUAUAAACUUUCUGUCAUGAUACCAGUAGUCAUAUAGAGUAUUAACUAAUUUUAGAAAUAAGCUUCAUCUAGUUUCCUGUACAUGUUUCCAGGUUUAAGGCUGAAGCAAGUAACUAGGAAAAAUGUUUAUGUACUUCAGAUGUACUUAAUAGAUUAUGGACCUCAAGCCUUUCUGAGAUAUGCUGAAUAAGGCAUUUAAAAUGUUUAGGGUUUUUUUUUUUUUAAUCACUCCUAACAAUAACAUUUUAGGUUUCCAAGAAGAAGACAGGGAUUCUGACAAUGAAUCCACCUGGAUUGUGUAACACCAGUCACUGGAAAAACAAAAAACUUCCCCAUGUUUCUUCUGCUGCCUGGUUCUGUAUAAACAGUGGACACUUUUGAGCUGACUGCCAUGUUUAGCCGAGUCAUGAUUGCCAUUAAGCUGACAAACACCACCCAAAGAUCUGCUUCAAAUUACAGACUGCUUAAGACAUUGAAAUUGCUGAGUUCAUAUGAGACUAGCAUGAACAUUUCACAGAACUUUGAACUCAAAAAUACUUAAUCCUAAGACUGCCAAAUAUAACCUAGCAGGACAUUGUGAAAAGCUUUGCAAAAAAAAAGUUGCUUAAUUUUUGUAAAUAGUUUUGCUGUAUCUUUCCUUUAUAUUUAGGCACAAAGGUGGAUAGGACAACAUAGGAACAAUGAAAAAGAUAGAUUAUUGAAUCUACUUUAAUAAACCUUUGUAUAUUGGUACAAAA